rnacentral:misc_RNA from 1 species
AGCUGUUCCCCUCUGGAGGUUUUAGAUCUCCACACUUCAGGGACCGCGGCUUUUGCUGGCGGCCCUUUUUUUAUUCUUCA